UACGUACGAGGCGAGCGUUAUCCGGAAUUACUGGGCGUAAAGCGCGCGCAGGCGGACCAUUAAGUUGGGCGUGAAAUCUCCCGGCCUAACUGGGAGGGGUCGCCCAAGACUGGUGGUCUUGAGGACAGCAGAGGUGGGUGGAAUUCCUGGUGUAGUGGUGAAAUGCGUAGAGAUCAGGAGGAACACCGGUGGCGAAGGCGGCCCACUGGGCUGUAACUGACGCUGAGGCGCGAAAGCUCGGGGAGCGAACGGG
rnacentral:rRNA from 1 species